ACAUGCAAGUCGAGCGAAGACUUCGGUCUUAGCGGCGGACGGGUGAGUAACGCGUGGGAACAUGCCUUUCACUACGGAAUAGUCCCGGGAAACUGGGUUUAAUACCGUAUACGCCCUUCGGGGGAAAGAAUUUCGGUGAGAGAUCGGCCCGCGUCUGAUUAGGUAGUUGGUGGGGUAAUGGCCUACCAAGCCGACGAUCAGUAGCUGGUUUGAGAGGAUGAUCAGCCACACUGGGACUGAGACACGGCCCAGACUCCUACGGGAGGCAGCAGUGAGGAAUCUUGGACAAUGGGGGCAACCCUGAUCCAGCCAUGCCGCGUGAACGAUGAAGGCCUUAGGGUUGUAAAGUUCUUUCAACGGUGAAGAUAAUGACGGUAGCCGUAGAAGAAACCCCGGCUAACUCCGUGCCAGCAGCCGCGGUAAUACGGAGGGGGUUAGCGUUGUUCGGAAUUACUGGGCGUAAAGCGCACGUAGGCGGACUAUUAAGUCAGGGGUGAAAUCCCGGGGCUCAACCCCGGAACUGCCUUUGAUACUGGUAGUCUAGAGUUCGAGAGAGGUGAGUGGAAUUCCGAGUGUAGAGGUGAAAUUCGUAGAUAUUCGGAGGAACACCAGUGGCGAAGGCGGCUCACUGGCUCGAUACUGACGCUGAGGUGCGAAAGCGUGGGGGAGCAAACAGGAUUAGAUACCCUGGUAGUCCACGCCGUAAACGAUGUGUGCUAGACGUUGGAAAUAUAUUUUUCAGUGUCGCAGCGAAAGCAUUAAGCACACCGCCUGGGGAGUACGACCGCAAGGUUAAAACUCAAAUGAAUUGACGGGGACCCGCACAAGCAGUGGAGCAUGUGGUUUAAUUCGAAGAUACGCGCAGAAUCUUACCAACACUUGACAUGUUCGUCGCGAGCCUAAGAGAUUAGGCUUUUCAGUUUGGCUGGACGAAACACAGGUGCUGCAUGCUGUCGUCAGCUCGUGUCGUGAGAUGUGGAUAAAGUCCCGCAACGAGCGCAACCCUACUUUAGUGCCACCAUUUAGUGGGCACUUUAAAGACUGCAGUGAUAGCUGAGAGUGGGGAUGACGUCAGUCUCAUGCCUAUGUGUGGCUACCACGUGCUACAUGCACUACAUGGAAGCAAGAGGGACUCUAGCUAUCCAAAAGUGUCUAGUCGGAAUGAACCUGGAACUCGAUGAUGCGUGG
rnacentral:rRNA from 1 species